AAUGAACGCUGGCGGCAUGCCUAACACAUGCAAGUCGAACGAACACUUCGGCCUUAUUGGCGCACGGGGUUGUAACGCGAGGGAAGCGUCCCUCGUGGUCGGAAUAACUAUGAGAAACUGAUACUUACACCGGACGAUGGCGUAAGUCCAAAGAUUUAUCGCACAAGGAUGAGCCAUCGUCGAAUUAGCUAGUUGUUUAGGUAAAAGCUCACGAAGGCGACGAUCCGUAGCUUGUCUGAGAGGAUGAUCAGCCACACUUGGACUGAGACACGGCCGAGACUCCUACGCGAGGCAUCAGUGCGGAAUAUUGGACAAUGGGCGAAAGCCUGAUCCAGCAAUGCCGCGUGAGUGCUGAAGGCCUUAGGGUUGUAAAGCUCUUUUAACCGGGAUGAUAAUGACCGUACCGGGAGAAUAAGCUCCGGCUAACUCCGUG
rnacentral:rRNA from 1 species